rnacentral:tRNA from 1 species
GCCGGGGUGGCCGAGUGGCACAGGCGAGCGGCUGCAGACCGCUUCCACGGGGGUUCAAGUCCCUCCCCCGGCUCCA